rnacentral:rRNA from 1 species
AUGAACGCUGACAGAAUGCUUAACACAUGCAAGUCUUUGGCGAAGCUGUGCUUGCACCGCCUAGCCAAGGCGGACGGGUGAGUAACGCGUAAGGAACUUGCCCUGCAGUCAGGGAUAACAGACGGAAACGACUGAUAAGACCUGGUAAAGUCAGGCGGACUCAUGUCCAGCCUGAUGAAAAGAGAUGCUGCAGGAGAGCCUUGCGUCCUAUUAGCUUGUUGGUGGGGUAACGGCCCACCAAGGCGAUGAUAGGUAGCCGGCCUGAGAGGGUGGACGGCCACAAGGGGACUGAGAUACGGCCCUUACUCCUACGGGAGGCAGCAGUGGGGAAUAUUGGACAAUGGGGGCAACCCUGAUCCAGCAAUUCGGUGUGCACGAUGAAGGUUUUCGGAUUGUAAAGUGCUUUCAGCAGGGAAGAAAAAAUGACGGUACCUGCAGAAGAAGCGACGGCUAAAUACGUG